rnacentral:piRNA from 1 species
CCCUGGGGACCUCUGAGCCUGGC